CAGCCGCCGCGGUAAUACGAAGGGUGCAAGCGUUAAUCGGAAUUACUGGGCGUAAAGCGUGCGUAGGCGGUGAGUUAAGUCUGCUGUGAAAUCCCCGGGCUCAACCUGGGAAUGGCAGUGGAUACUGGCUCGCUAGAGUGUGUCAGAGGAUAGUGGAAUUCCCGGUGUAGCGGUGAAAUGCGUAGAGAUCGGGAGGAACAUCAGUGGCGAAGGCGGCCAUCUGGGACAACACUGACGCUGAGGCACGAAAGCGUGGGGAGCAAACAGGAUUAGAUACCCGCGUAGUCCCUGUCUCUUAUAC
rnacentral:rRNA from 1 species